GUGCUCACUUCGGCAGCACAUAUACUAAAAACUGGAAUGAUAUAGAGAGGGUUAGCAUGGCUGCUGCGCAAGGAUGACACGCAAAUUCAUGAAGCAUUCUAUAUUCAA